CCUACGGGUGGCAGCAGUGGGGAAUAUUGGACAAUGGGGGGAACCCUGAUCCAGCCAUGCCGCGUGUGUGAAGAAGGCCCUCGGGUUGUAAAGCACUUUCAGUGAGGAAGAACGCCUGGUGGUGAAUACCCAUCAGGAAAGACAUCACUCACAGAAGAAGCACCGGCUAACUCCGUGCCAGCAGCCGCGGUAAUACGGAGGGUGCGAGCGUUAAUCGGAAUUACUGGGCGUAAAGCGCGCGUAGGUGGCUUGAUAAGCCGGUUGUGAAAGCCCCGGGCUCAAACUGGGAACGGCAUCCGGAACUGUCAAGCUAGAGUGCAGGAGAGGAAGGUAGAAUUCCCGGUGUAGCGGUGAAAUGCGUAGAGAUCGGGAGGAAUACCAGUGGCGAAGGCGGCCUUCUGGACUGACACUGACACUGAGGUGCGAAAGCGUGGGUAGCAAACAGGAUUAGAUACCCUUGUAGUC
rnacentral:rRNA from 1 species